rnacentral:rRNA from 1 species
UACAGAGGUGGCAAGCGUUGUUCGGAUUUAUUGGGCGUAAAGGGUCCGUAGGCGGUUCGGAAAGUCAGAUGUGAAAUCCUACAGCUCAACUGUAGAACUGCAUUUGAAACUUCCGGACUAGAGUAUGAGAGGGGUUAAGGGAAUUCCCGGUGUAAGGGUGAAAUCUGCAGAGAUCGGGAGGAACACCAGUCGCGAAGGCGCUUAACUGGCUCAUUACUGACGCUCAGGGACGAAAGCUAGGGGAGCAAACGGG